GAUGAAUGCUAGCUACAGGCUUAACACAUGCAAGUCGAGGGGAAACGACAUCGAAAGCUUGCUUUUGAUGGGCGUCGACCGGCGCACGGGUGAGUAACGCGUAUCCAACCUGCCCAUCACUUGGGAAUAACCUUGCGAAAGUAAGACUAAUACCCAAUGACAUCCCACGAAGACAUCUGAAUGGGAUUAAAGAUUUAUCGGUGAUGGAUGGGGAUGCGUCUGAUUAGCUUGUUGGCGGGGUAACGGCCCACCAAGGCAACGAUCAGUAGGGGUUCUGAGAGGAAGGUCCCCCACAUUGGAACUGAGACACGGUCCAAACUCCUACGGGAGGCAGCAGUGAGGAAUAUUGGUCAAUGGGCGAGAGCCUGAACCAGCCAAGUAGCGUGCAGGAUGACGGCCCUAUGGGUUGUAAACUGCUUUUAUAAGGGAAUAAAGUGGGUCUCGUGAGACUUUUUGCAUGUACCUUAUGAAUAAGGACCGGCUAAUUCCGUG
rnacentral:rRNA from 1 species